rfam:Spinacia oleracea cultivar SynViroflay scaffold96132.1, whole genome shotgun sequence.
UGGAUAUGAUGAAUAAAAGGUCGGACUUACGGCUUCCCCUUAAUUGGGUUUGUAAUAGAUUGAUGAUUAAGUUUAAGUAUAAGUUUUCCCGAGCCAG